rnacentral:rRNA from 1 species
UGGGGAAUCUUGCGCAAUGGGCGAAAGCCUGACGCAGCAACGCCGCGUGCGGGAUGAAGGCCUUCGGGUUGUAAACCGCUUUCAGCAGGGACGAAACUGACGGUACCUGCAGAAGAAGCCCCGGCCAACUACGUGCCAGCAGCCGCGGUAAUACGUAGGGGGCGAGCGUUGUCCGGAUUUAUUGGGCGUAAAGAGCUCGUAGGCGGUUGGGUAAGUCGGGUGUGAAAACUCAGGGCUCAACUCUGAGACGCCACUCGAUACUGCCCUGACUUGAGUCCGGUAGGGGAGCGUGGAAUUCCCGGUGUAGCGGUGAAAUGCGCAGAUAUCGGGAGGAACACCAGUGGCGAAGGCGGCGCUCUGGGCCGGAACUGACGCUGAGGAGCGAAAGCGUGGGUAGCAAACAGGAUUAGAUACCCUGGUAGUCCACGCCGUAAACGUUGGGCACGUAGGUGUGGGGGCUCGUAUCGACGGGCUCCGUGCCGUAGCUAACGCAUUAAGU